rnacentral:rRNA from 1 species
UACGUAGGCAGCGAGCGUUGUUCGGAGUUACUGGGCGUAAAGCGCACGUAGGCGGAUCGUUAAGUCGGGGGUGAAAUCCUGGAGCUCAACUCCAGAACUGCCUUCGAUACUGGCGAUCUCGAGUCCGGAAGAGGUGAGUGGAACUCCUAGUGUAGAGGUGGAAUUCGUAGAUAUUAGGAAGAACACCAGUGGCGAAGGCGACUCACUGGUCCGGUACUGACGCUGAGGUGCGAAAGCGUGGGGAGCAAACAGG